GACGAACGCUGGCGGCGUGCUUAACACAUGCAAGUCGAACGGAAAGGCCCUGCUUUUGUGGGGUGCUCGAGUGGCGAACGGGUGAGUAACACGUGAGUAACCUGCCCUUGACUUUGGGAUAACUUCAGGAAACUGGGGCUAAUACCGGAUAGGAGCUCCUGCUGCAUGGUGGGGGUUGGAAAGUUUCGGCGGUUGGGGAUGGACUCGCGGCUUAUCAGCUUGUUGGUGGGGUAGUGGCUUACCAAGGCUUUGACGGGUAGCCGGCCUGAGAGGGUGACCGGCGACAUUGGGACUGAGAUACGGCGCAGACUCCUACGGGAGGCAGCAGUGGGGAAUAUUGCACAGUGGGAGGGAGCCUGAUGCAGCAACGCCGCGUGCGGGAUGACGGCCUUCGGGUUGUAAACCGCUUUCGCCUGUGACGAAGCGUGAGUGACGGUAAUGGGUAAAGAAGCACCGGCUAACUACGUG
rnacentral:rRNA from 1 species